rnacentral:rRNA from 1 species
AUGUGGCAAUCGGAACAUUUCUCGGCUGCCAAGAGAUCUGAACGACUGAUGGAAAACUUUCGUGAGGCGCUGUCAGAUUGUAACCUUCAUGAUCUGGGCUACAAAGGGCCUUGCUGGACCUAUAAUAACAAGCAAGAUGGAACGAAGAAUGUGCGAGCUAGACUGGAUAGAGGAGUUGCUAGCCCCGAAUGGUCGGAUAACUUCAAAAAAGCUACUGUGGAGCAUAUAUGUUCGUCUAGGUCAGACCACUUGCCGCUUCUUAUCCGGCUCGGUAAAAGAAAAGAAUGGAGACCGAAGGGAGAAGGAAAUCAGAAGGUGUUUAGGUAUGAACAGAUGUGGGAGCGCGCUAGCUCGCUACAGGCCACGAUUGAUUGCACCUGGUCGAGAGGAGGCCCGGCGGCGAACCUCCAGUCUGUCACAGAAAAAGGUAUUGAAGCAGGGCUGGAGUUGCUGAAAAAGGGCGUCAUCUGGAGAGUGGGCAAUGGAAGAGAUAUUCAGAUCCAACGGGACCAGUGGUUGCCAAGGAAAGAGGGGCUGAUGACCGCGGCAUUCAUUAGAAGAUCACGUCUUCGAUGGGUGAACCAACUCAUGCUCCCAGAUAUGAAGGAGUGGAAUGUUCCACUUAUCAAACAAAUUUUCUACCCUUUCGAUGCUGAGGAUAUAUGUAGAAUCCCAAUACCUAGAGCGGAUGUGAGGGACUGCAUUGCCUGGCACCCUGAGAAGAAUGGGAUAUUCACAGUGAGGAGCGCAUAUAAGUUGGCGGCGGCAGCAAAGAAUAAUGCGGCUUUGGAGGCCUCGAGCUCGACAAACAAUUCGGAGGACCGUAGCAUAUGGGAUCUGAUUUGGAAAGCUGAGGUUCCCCCAAAGGUGAGAAUCUUCGGUUGGAGGGUUGCAACCAACACCUUGGCCACGAAAAGGAACAUGUUCAGGCGUACGAUCACGUUUGAUGCGACGUGCGAUAUAUGCGGCUGUGGGGAUGAGGAUGAACACCACGCAGUGGUGGGAUGCACCAAGAGUAGGGCACUCAGGCACAAAAUGAGGGAGGAGUGGGAUAUCCCAUCAGAAAAGCAUUUCCAGAAUACUGGCGAAGAUUGGCUACAGAUCCUACUGAGCUCCGUUCCGAAAGAUGUUUGCGUAAAAAUCUUGUUGCUGCUAUGGAGAUGCUGGCACCUCCGUGAAAAUUGCAUACAUGGGGAUGGCAAGGAGCCGGUUUUAGUAUCCGCCGCCUAUCUGUCGAAGAUGCAUGAGGAAUGGAAGAACGUGGGUGUAGCCGGACAGGUGCUGGCCGGAAAGGACUCUGGGUCUCAGGCAAAAUCAUGCCCAAGUAUCCAUACAACUCGAAGAUAUCAGUGGACUACACCACCGAGAGGCAUAGCAAAACUGAACACCGAUGCCUCUUUUAUCCCAAACACCAAUCAGUGUUGGGGAGGCGCCGUCGCUCGAGAUCACAAAGGACAUGUCUACCUGUCGGUUGGAAGAGAGUUGGGCAAAGCUAAUGACGCUCAGGAGGCGGAGGGGAAGGCGAUCUUGAUGGGUUUGCAAGCAUUGGCACCUCGCUAUAAUGGGAACAUUUGGAUAGAGACUGACUGCAAAUCUCUAGCGGAUGAUCUCCAAGGAAACGGCCAAGUCAGGUCAGCAAGUUAUGGAUUGAUUAUGGACAUCAAAUCGCUGCUUGGAGGUUUUCAGAGCAAGCAGAUCACUCAUGUUGAUCGUCAGCGGAACUCCCUUGCACAUGAGCUGGCAGCAGAAGCUAGAAGAUCUGGGGACUUUUUUCUGAUUGCUGAUGUCCCUAAUGGGUUACGUAACUUGAUGUUGUCUGAAUGUAACCCCCCACUGGAGUAA